AUGGUUGGAAAACCUGCUGCUGUUACUCGUGUUGUGGAUAGUAUGACGGAUAACCUAAGGCCUACUCGUGCAGAUGCAACUGAUGUGGCAAAUGCGGUGCUGGAUGGUAAUGAUGCCAUUCUCCUUUGUGCUGAGACUCUCUGUGGGUUGUAUCCAGUUGAGACUAUUUCAACGAUAGGCAGAAUUUGUGAUGAGGCUGAGAAGGUCUUCAACCAGGAUUUGUAUUUCAAGCGAACCAUGAAAUACGUGGGAGAACCCAUGAUCCACUUGGAGUCUAUUGCUUCCUCUGCAGUGCGGGCUGCUAUUAAAGUUAAGCUUCAGUCAUCAUUUGCUUCACCUCAUCUGGAUAGGAGAAAAAGAGCUAAUUGCCAAGUACAGAACCACCAUGCCAUUCCUCAUCUAAAAACAAAUCAGUUGAAGUGGAGCUUCACAAGCGCAUUUGAAGCAAGACAAUCACUCAAUAGUUAG
rnacentral:rRNA from 1 species